rnacentral:rRNA from 1 species
AGCGAACGUUAGCGGCGGGCUUAACACAUGCAAGUCGAGCGAGAAAGGGCUUCGGCCCUUAGUAAAGCGGCGGACGGGUGAGUAACACGUAGGUAAUCUUCCCUUGAGCGGGGGAAAACAGGCCGAAAGGCCUGCUAAUACCGCAUACGUUUCCCGGGACUCCGGUUCUGGGAAGGAAGCUAGGCCGCAAGGUCCGGCACUCGAGGAGGAGCCUGCGUCGCAUCAGCUAGUUGGUGGGGUAACGGCCUACCAAGGCGAAGACGCGUAGCUGGUCUGAGAGGAUGAUCAGCCACACUGGGACUGAGACACGGCCCAGACUCCUACGGGAGGCAG